rnacentral:pre_miRNA from 1 species
AUAAGAAUUAGUUUGGUGAAUCGGAAACUAUUUUUCAAUUUUAUAGAAAAAGUCCAUGUAAUUUUAUGAUCAAUAAUAGUUUUCGUUUUCCCCAAACCGUCUAAACU